rnacentral:rRNA from 1 species
ACCGGACUGUUGCCCCCCAGAAUAGAUGGGGCUGCGCGUGUGUUGGUUGAAAAAAAAAAGAAAAAAAAAAAGAAACUGCGAAUGGCUCAUUAAAUCAGUUACCAUUUAUUUGGUGGUCUCCUUACCACUCGGAUAACCGCGGUAAUUCUAGAGCUAAUACGUGCAGCAUAUCCUGACUUCUGGAAGGGAUGUAUUUAUUGGAUAAAAGGCUGAUCCAGGCUUGCCCGUUGUUGUGGCGAAUCAUGAUGACUUGUCGAAUCGCAUGGCCUUUGAGCCCGCGAUAUUCCAUUCAAAUUUCUGCCCUAUCAACUUUCGAUGGUAGGAUAGAGGCCUACCAUGGUGGUAACGGGUGACGGAGAAUUAGGGUUCAAUUCCGGAGAGGGAGCCUGAGAGAUGGCUACCACAUCCAAGGAAGGCAGCAAACGCGUAAAUUACCCAAUCCURACAUAGGGAGGUAGUGACAAUAAAUAACAAUACUGGGCUCUUUCGAGUCCGGUAAUUAGAAUGAGAACAGUUAUAAACUCCUUGAACGAGGAUCCAUUGGAGGGCAAGUCUGGUGCCAGCAGCCGCCGUAAUUCCAGCUCCAAUAGCGUAUAUUUAAGUUGUUGCGGUUAAAAAGUUCGUAGUUGGAUUUUGGGUGGGAGGGGUUGGUCCGCUUUUGCGGGCGUGUACCGGCCCUUUUGCCUUUCUUGCCGGGUAUGUGUUCCUUGCCUUUAUUGGCUGGGAUCCAGAGCCGGCGCUGUUACUUUGAAAAAAUUAAAGUGUUCAAAGCAGGCCUGUGCUCUGAACAUAUUAGCAUGGAAUAACGUGAUAGGACUCUGGUCCUAUUUCGUUGGUCUUCGGGAUUGGAGUAAUGAUUAAUAGAGACGGUUGGGGGCAUUCGUAUUCCAUUSUCAGAGGUGAAAUUCUUGGAUUUAUGGAUGACGAACUUCUGCGAAAGCAUUUGCCAAGGACGUUCUCAUUAAUCAAGAACGAAAGUUGGGGGAUCGAAGACGAUCAGAUACCGUCCUAGUCUCAACCAUAAACGAUGCCGACUAGGGAUUGGCGGAUGUCUAUUGGAUGGCUCUGCCAGCACCUUGUGAGAAAUCAAAGUUUACGGGUUCCGGGGGGAGUAUGGUCGCAAGGCUGAACUACGCACAAAACUUAAAGCGCAACUUUUCCUUUCAUACCUUUUCCUUCACUAGACCCUACUGUAUCUGGCCCCCAAUACAGUUAUCGGGGCCCUACUAGCGCAGAGCUGAGACGAGAAGGCCUAGUACAGCUGACAUGCAAGGGGUCGGGCCAGCCUAGGCCAUAAACCGCCGUCCAAACUCGAAGCUCGAACCGUUGGCCUCCCCGCGAGGUGACGGGUUGAAAAGAGAGGCACCACGUCAGAUAUCAGCUGACGGAGAUAUAAUAAUAAUAAUAGUAAUAAUAAUAAAUAACAACUUUUAACGACGAACGACUAUGGACCAUUGAGUUUUCUCGAUUAGCAGCCUUCAGUUCACAUAGACUAGGCUCUCAACUGUUCAUCUAUUUUUCCUUUUCGCAUUUCCGCUUUUACUUUCAUUCUCUUAGCCUUGUCUUUUUAUAACAGUGACCAUUGGUCUGUGUACCUGACCCAUAACUCAGUAGAAAAGACUGCGCCAGUCUUCUCACCUCCGCGUCCCAGGGCGAACCCGGCGGCUACCACGGCCACAGGCCGGUUGUGCUCUGCUGUACAGCAGGGCGUCGAGCCUGCGUGGACCAAUGGAAAGCCCUGUGGC